GCAUAGAAAGUGAGAAAUUUACAUUCGGUUUCGGCCCGUAGAUUGGAGGUGUAAGUCCUUCUCUAUGUU
rnacentral:tRNA from 2 species